GGCGGCACCAUAGCCAAGCGGUAAGGCAGAGGACUGCAAAUCCUUUACCCCCAGUUCAAAUCUGGGUGCCGCCUCCA
rnacentral:tRNA from 1 species